ensembl:lncRNA
AUCCGUCUAUACCGACAUGCAGACAUAGCGCCGGGAACGUCGUGUCGCGCCCACUGCAUGCGAACUUUUAAUAUACUAUUAAUAGCAAUAUACAGCUCUUUACACGCUGUAAACAUAGUGUUUGUGAUUUAAAUCAAACAUGGACAACGUUGAGGCGAAUAUGUUCAUCAUGCAUAAAGAAAUUUUGACUACCAUAGCCGACAUGGUGCGAUUACACCAGAGUCCCCCUGUACACCAUAGCAUGUUUGGGGGGAUGGGGUCGGGCAGCGGCCCGCACUGGGAAAUUGACCCGGAAGGUGACGACGAGUAUACAACAUACUUGCCCGAUGGCAACGGCUCCUACAUCCGCAUGCCACCCGAAAGAUACAAUAGUCAACUGUACCCAGAGGCGUUCAAACCGAAAAGAACCAACCCCCUUCCUAAGCCACAGUAUACCCCCGCAGACCCCACUCAAGUCCAAAAGCAAGACAAGAAAGUCAAAGCCAAGUCGGAGAAGAAGCGGAUUAAGAAACGGAGACAGAAGGAGAGGAAACGUCUCGAGAAGCUCAAGCGAGAACAGCAAAAGCCAAAGAAGAAUACAGAGGAAAACGGAGAGACGAAGAAGGCCGAUAAGGCAACCAAGGCUCCGGUGUCGGGCGAUCAGAGCUCCUCUGGUGACUCUGACUCCAGCGACUGCAGCGACGACAGCGAGGAAGAGGAGGAGGAGGAGGAGGAGGAGUCGUCCGAGAGCGAAACUGAGGAGUUGGACCUGAGCAGCAGCUUCGUGAACAAAGCCGCUCUUAUUUUGAAGAGGAAGCUGGAGCAGAAGGAACCCAAAUACAAGCCAGAGAGGAAGGAGGAGAAAAAGGCGCCAGUAAAACCAGGGGCCGAACCCACUAAGGACAGACCCGUCCGUGCGGUGCCCGACGCUACGAAGGCUGUCCUUAAUAAAGAUGUGAGCAGUUUGUCUUAACUAUUCAAUUCUGUUUAUUUUUGUGAAUGGUGACUUUCAGGCCGUUUACUAAUUUUGAUAUUUAUUGAUACUGAUAUGGUUGCAAUUCAUUUU